CCUACGGGAGGCAGCAGUGAGGAAUAUUGGUCAAUGGACGAGAGUCUGAACCAGCCAAGUAGCGUGAAGGAUGACUGCCCUAUGGGUUGUAAACUUCUUUUAUAUGGGAAUAAAAUGUUCCACGUGUGGGAUUUUGUAUGUACCAUAUGAAUAAGGAUCGGCUAACUCCGUGCCAGCAGCCGCGGUAAUACGGAGGAUCCUAGCGUUAUCCGGAUUUAUUGGGUUUAAAGGGAGCGUAGGUGGAUUGUUAAGUCAGUUGUGAAAGUUUGCGGCUCAACCGUAAAAUUGCAGUUGAAACUGGCAGUCUUGAGUACAGGAGAGGUGGGCGGAAUUCGUGGUGUAGCGGUGAAAUGCUUAGAUAUAACGAAGAACUCCGAUUGCGAAGGCAGCUUACUGGACUGCAACUGACACUGAGGCGCGAAAGUGUGGGUAUCAAACAGGAUUAGAUACCCGGGUAGUC
rnacentral:rRNA from 1 species